rnacentral:rRNA from 1 species
GGGGGACAGAGUGACAGGUGGUGCAUGGUUGUCGUCAGCUCGUGUCGUGAGAUGUUGGGUUAAGUCCCGCAACGAGCGCAACCCUUAAGCUUAGUUGCCAUCAUUAAGUUGGGCACUCUAAGUUGACUGCCGGUGACAAACCGGAGGAAGGUGGGGAUGACGUCAAAUCAUCAUGCCCCUUAUGAUUUGGGCUACACACGUGCUACAAUGGACAAUACAAAGGGCAGCGAAACCGCGAGGUCAAGCAAAUCCCAUAAAGUUGUUCUCAGUUCGGAUUGUAGUCUGCAACUCGACUAUAUGAAGCUGGAAUCGCUAGUAAUCGUAGAUCAGCAUGCUACGGUGAAUACGUUCCCGGGUCUUGUACACACCGCCCGUCACACCACGAGAGUUUGUAACACCCGAAGCCGGUGGAGUAACCAUUUGGAGCUAGCCGUCGAAGGUGGGACAAAUGAUUGGGGUGAAGUCGUAACAAGGUAGCCGUAUCGGAAGGUGCGGCUGGAUCACCUCCUUU